GACGAACGCUGGCGGCGUGCUUAACACAUGCAAGUCGAACGGAAAGGCCCUGCUUUUGUGGGGUGCUCGAGUGGCGAACGGGUGAGUAACACGUGAGUAACCUGCCCUUGACUUUGGGAUAACUUCAGGAAACUGGGGCUAAUACCGGAUAGGAGCUCCUGCUGCAUGGUGGGGGUUGGAAAGUUUCGGCGGUUGGGGAUGGACUCGCGGCUUAUCAGCUUGUUGGUGGGGUAGUGGCUUACCAAGGCUUUGACGGGUAGCCGGCCUGAGAGGGUGACCGGCCACAUUGGGACUGAGAUACGGCCCAGACUCCUACGGGAGGCAGCAGUGGGGAAUAUUGAACAAUGGGCGGAAGCCUGAUGCAGCAACGCCGCGUGCGGGAUGACGGCCUUCGGGUUGUAAACCGCUUUCGCCUGUGACGAAGCGUGAGUGACGGUAAUGGGUAAAGAAGCACCGCCUAACUACGUG
rnacentral:rRNA from 1 species